rnacentral:rRNA from 1 species
AUGGGUGACCGUGGCGGGGGGAGAUCUGGCGGAUGGCGCGACAACACUGCGCGGGGUGGAUUCGGUGGCGGUCGCAAGGCUCCGCCGCCAAACCAAUCUCGUCAUAUGGUAUGGCAGCGGCCAGAUCCGCCACCGGCGACGUCGGGAGAUUCGAGAUCUGGUGGUGGCGAAGUUGCGGACAGAUGGGAAGCUGCUGCUCGGGCCAUGAGUGAUGCGAGCAAGGAGAAGAUGGCGGGCGCCAAGGAACCGCCUCCACCACCAACAUCUGGGCAUGUGGCGACCAAGGGCAACACCGAGCUCUGCAUCAAUUGCUCCCUCCCAGAUUAUGUGGUUUGGCCUUCUCUUCCACAUAUUGUACCUCUUGAGGAGGGAACUGUGGAAGGGGGAGAAAACUGUAGUGUUUAUACAGUUGAAUCUCCUUCUGGAUCACCAAUCCAUGACUGCAUGAGUGGUGAAAAGGAAGUUUCACACAGACAGAAGCAGAAGCUGGAGAGGGUGGAGAAUGUGGCGGCAAACAGAAUGAGGAAACGUAAUUUGGAAGGUCUGCUUAAGGGAGAAGAUAGGGAGAAGCUUCAGGCCGGAGUGAAGAGGCUAGCGCAUGCGGCUGCUGCUCUGGCGGACAGAUCGUUUCCUCGAGGCAGGCUCCUCUUAGGAGACAAUGAGGGGAUCCAGAUUGGAUGA